rnacentral:rRNA from 1 species
UGAGGAAUAUUGGGCAAUGCCCGCAAGGGUGACCCAGUAACGCCGCGUGGAGGAUGAAUGUCGUAAGAUUGUAAACUCCUGUUAGAGGGGAAGAAUAGUACCGGUUGGACCGGUAUAUGACCGUACCCUCAGAGAAAGCCCCGGCUAACUACGUGCCAGCAGCCGCGGUAAUACGUAGGUGGCAAGCGUUGUCCGGAAUCACUGGGCGUAAAGGGCGCGUAGGCGGGCUAUUAAGUCAGAUGUGUAAACCCCAGGCUCAACCUGGAGAUUGCAUCUGAUACUGGUAGUCUUGAGUGCAGGAGAGGACAGUGGAAUUCCUAGUGUAGCGGUGAAAUGCGUAGAUAUUAGGAGGAACACCAGUGGCGAAGGCGGCUGUCUGGACUGUAACUGACGCUGAGGCGCGAAAGCGUGGGGAGCAAACA